GAGGAGAGUUUGGGGGGGACGGGGCAGGCUCUGGCCUGGGCCUGGUGGGUGACCACCUGGAGGCCAAGGCUGGCUGCCACCACUCAGGCCAAAGUCAGUCACGAGGGGGUCACCCCAGCUCCCUCCUCCUUAUCCCACAGCCGCCCCCCCUCGGGGGGGGGGGCGGCAAGGAACAGCAGCCUGGCUGGGGUGGGGGGAGGCCCGGCGUCUCUCCAGAGGGCCGGGUGUCCUCGCACCGUGUGGCAGCCGCCCCCAGAGGGAUGAUUCAAAGCAGCCUCGGAGGCUCUGCCGACUGGUCCCGGAAAGCCAGCGCCAUCACCCCAGCUGCCUCCUGUGGGCACAGUCCUCCAUCCAGGCCCCACUCGAAAGGAAAACUGGCUCCACUUUGGGAAGGCCCCGGAGGACACAGACCCUGGACCCUGAGAGGAAGCGGAGGGGUGGCAGGUGCCAGACUAGGAUUGCUGUCUGGGCCAUGACCCCCGGUCCCCUGGCAAGGGCACCGCCGGUCCUUCCUUCCACCCCAGCCCAGAAGUCUCCAGGCAGUGCCCCUUCCAGGCCCCUCACCGGGCCCUGGGGGUUCAGGCAUGGCAGUUCUACCACUCGGCCCCUGAGAGCAGCCUGGGUGACAGAGUGUGCUGUGGUCGGCCUCACUUUGCCCAGCCGGUCCUGCUUCUGAAGGCGACGCCUACAGCCCCGCUGCCUGCCGACCCCGAAGCGGGAAGCAGCGCCGGAGCGCAAAGCAAAGGCCACGUGCUUGCUUGUAGAAAAAUACCCGCGUGGCCUGGGAGCGACAGAGGCCCACGCCCCCGGGGGUCAGUUGCGUGUUCACAUAACACGCACUUAGUAUCUAAAGUGUGCAACUCAGUGGCGUCCGUGCACUCCCAGUAUUGUGCAAGCACCGGCCCUCGCUCGUCUCAGAACUUCUUCACCACCCCGUAAAGACCCUCCCCGGAUCCGAGACGUCGUCGCGCCCCGUGUCUCGCUCCCGAAUCCUCCGGGAAUGGCUGACCCGCGCCGCCCCCUUGGACCCACCUCAUCCGGGUCCGCCACGUGAAAAGCACCCGGGGAGGGGGGCCGGCGGCCUUUGUGUCUGGCUGCUUUCACGCUGCAGUGUCCUCAGGUCCAUGCACGUUGCCUCUGCCCCUUCACUCCCUUUUGGGGUGAACGCCAGCCCACAGUUGGAGGUCCAUUUCUCCGUGGACAUUGGGGUCAUUUCCCCCUUUUGGAGAUUGUCAGUAACAUGUCUAUGAACAGGAAAGGUUUUUAGUUUU